GACAGAGGGUGCAAACGUUUGUUCGGAAUUACUGGGCGUAAAGCGCAUGUAGGCGGCCUGAUAGGUCGGGUGUGAAAUCCCUCGGCUCAACCAAGGAAGUGCACUCGAAACCCUCAGGCUCGAGUCCCGGAGAGGAAGGUGGAAUUCUCGGUGUAGAGGUGAAAUUCGUAGAUAUCGAGAGGAACACCGGUGGCGAAAGCGGCCUUCUGGACGAGGACUGACGCUGAGAUGCGAAAGCGUGGGGAGCAAACAGG
rnacentral:rRNA from 1 species